CUCGUACUCCCCGAAAUGCUUUUAGGAGCAGCGUGGGGGUUUAGUUUAUUAGAGGUAGAGCUACCAAUUGGACUAGGGGGAGUCAAAUCCUACCAAAUCCAGAUGAACUCCGAAUGCUAAUAAAUAUACCCCACAGUGAGGGCUUGGGUGCUAAGGUCCAAGUCCGAGAGGGAAAGAACCCAGACCUACAGCUAAGGUCCCAAAAUCUACACUAAGUUGAACUAAGGAGGUCCAGUUGCUUAGACAGCCAGGAUGUUGGCUUGGAAGCAGCCAUUCAUUUAAAGAGUGCGUAACAGCUCACUGGUCGAGUGACAGAGCAUCGAUAAUAAUCGGGCAUCAAGUGUAGUACCGAAGCUUAGGAUGUAUUUAUACAUGGUAGGGGAGCAUUCUCUAGGCGGCGAAGGUUUGCUGUGAGGCAUGCUGGAGCGUAGAGAAGCGCAAAUGUAGGCAUAAGUAACGAUAAUGCGGGUGAGAAACCCGCACACCGAUAGACUAAGGUUUCCCCGGCAAUGCUAAUCAGCCGGGGGUUAGUCGGGACCUAAGGCGAACCCGAACGGGGUAGUCGAUGGACAACAGGUUAAUAUUCCUGUACUGGCAUAUUCAGUGAUGGGGUGACGGAGUAGUGAAAGCGCUGCGAACUGACGGAAUAGUUCGUUGAAGGGUGUAGGUAUUGGACCGGUAGGUAAAUCCGCCGGACUAGCUGAACCUGAUAGUACCUUGAUCCUUCGGGAGACGGGAUAAUGCGCCUAAACAGACUUCCAAGAAAAACCUCUAAACUUAUGAAUAUGGUACCUGUACCGUAAACCGACACAGGUAGUCAAGGAGAGAAUCCUGAGGUGCUCGAGUGAAUCAUGGCUAAGGAACUAGGCAAAAUUGCCCUGUAACUUCGGGAGAAGGGGCCCCC
rnacentral:rRNA from 18 species